rnacentral:rRNA from 1 species
UACGUAGGGUGCGAGCGUUGUCCGGAAUUACUGGGCGUAAAGAGCUCGUAGGUGGUUUGUCGCGUUGUUCGUGAAAACUCACAGCUUAACUGUGGGCGUGCGGGCGAUACGGGCAGACUGGAGUACUGCAGGGGAGACUGGAAUUCCAGGUGUAGCGGUGAAAUGCGUAGAUAUCGGAGGAACACCGGUGGCGAAGGCGG